GACGAACCGUGCUAACGUUGUUCGGAAUCACUGGGCUUAAAGGGCGCGUAGGCGGGCAUGCAAGUCAGGGGUGAAAGCCCACGGCUCAACCGUGGAAGUGCCUUUGAUACUGCGAGUCUUGAGGGAGGUAGGGGCGUGCGGAACUUCCGGUGGAGCGGUGAAAUGCGUAGAUAUCGGAAGGAACACCGGUGGCGAAAGCGGCGCGCUGGACCUCUUCUGACGCUGAGGCGCGAAAGCCAGGGGAGCAAACGGG
rnacentral:rRNA from 1 species